GGACAGGCUUCGGUCCCAGCAGGGAGGUGGGGCACGUGCCACAGCUCAAGAUGGGAGCAGGGGAGAAAAUUUCUCACCUGCCACAUUUCUACUCCUUGGUUUAAAAUGUGAACAAUCUUCUCACAAAAUGAGGAAGCUCUACCCAACUGUGCUCCUUUGUCUCUCAAGGCAACCACUAGAUUAAUCCUGUGAGGCAGAAAGCUUCCCCUUCCACCUGCAGCCUCCAGUCUUCUCCGGGAGGGUCGUGUGGCAUCUCUGUCACAACUGCACGGGCUGGAGAUGAGAGUAAGCAACUACCUUCUUCUCUCCUGCUCUUCUCACCAAUCUUGGUAAAAGAUGACUGGGGGGAAAUACAACAUCACUUUUAUACCCAAGAGGACAGCAUUGCCCUAGAUCAAUGCAUCAACACUGGCUGCCCACAAACAGAAGUCUGUUGUAUGUGAGUCACUUCACUUCCUUCACUUACUUCACAGUGAGGAAGUCACUGGAUUGAUGAGUUGUCCUUUGGGGGUAUUUGAAUUUUCUGAGAGAGUAUUAAAGACUACAAAGCUUAAACUAAAGGAUUUGUUUCUAAUGAUGGAAAUUCAGGAACCAUUUGGGAUGUGUAGUAACUUACUCCACUGAGAGACAAAGUCAGAGGGGUGAGGAGACCUCAGAAAGAUGCCCUGCAUCUAAGUUAUUGCUUUGCAUCUAAGCUUUUAGGAACAGCAACUUCCAGAAGCUUCUACUUCUCUGUCAAGCUAGAGGGCGAUGCCAUCAAUGGAUACCAGCAAUGUUAGAUGAGCAACUAUUGCCAGCUUCCUUCCUUAGGGCUGGAGAGGAGAGCUGGUUUGGAUUAUAAACUCAUUACCUAACGCUUUCUUGACUGUAUGUUAGGAAACCCAACGGAUACCAAGAGAUCCAAUACACAAUUCCAACUAGGUUAAAAGAUUUUGUUUCACCUAGGAGCACUGCUUAUAUAUUCUUAUACCUCAGCAGCGAGCUUAAGGAUCUGGACAAGGAAGGUGGCAUCUACCUGGUGGCCUAGAACCUUCACUUCAUCAUCAGUAAAGUGGAAGAUAAUAUUACCCACCUCGUGAGAUUAUUGUGUGGUUGAAGCAAGACAGCAGCUAUGAAAAAAAAAA
rnacentral:lncRNA from 12 species